CCUACGGGAGGCAGCAGUGGGGAAUAUUGGGCAAUGGGCGCAAGCCUGACCCAGCAACGCCGCGUGAAGGAAGAAGGCUUUCGGGUUGUAAACUUCUUUUCUCAGGGACGAAGCAAGUGACGGUACCUGAUGACUAAGCCACGGCUAACUACGUGCCAGCAGCCGCUGGAAUACGUAGGUGGCAAGCGUUAUCCGGAUUUACUGGGUGUAAAGGGCGUGUAGGCGGGAAAGCAAGUCAGAUGUGAAAACCAUGGGCUCAACCUGUGGCCUGCAGUUGAAACUGUUGGUCUUGAGUACUGGAGAGGCAGACGGAAUGCCUAGUGUAGCGGUGAAAUGCGUAGAUAUUAGGAGGAACACCAGUGGCGAAGGCGGUCUGCUGGACAGCAACUGACGCUGAGGCGCGAAAGCGUGGGGAGCAAACAGGAUUAGAUACCCUAGUAGUC
rnacentral:rRNA from 1 species